GGAGGAAAAGAAACCAACAGGGAUUGCCCCAGUAACGGCGAGUGAAGCGGCAACAGCUCAAAUUUGAAAUCUGGCCCCCAGGGCCCGAGUUGUAAUUUGCAGAGGAUGCUUUUGGCGCGGUGCCUUCCGAGUUCCCUGGAACGGGACGCCAUAGAGGGUGAGAGCCCCGUCUGGUCGGACGCCUAGCCUGUGUAAAGCUCCUUCGACGAGUCGAGUAGUUUGGGAAUGCUGCUCUAAAUGGGAGGUAUAUGUCUUCUAAAGCUAAAUACCGGCCAGAGACCGAUAGCGCACAAGUAGAGUGAUCGAAAGAUGAAAAGCACUUUGAAAAGAGGGUUAAAUAGUACGUGAAAUUGU
rnacentral:rRNA from 1 species